rnacentral:rRNA from 1 species
CAUAAAAGGUGGCUUCGGCUACCACUUACAGAUGGACCCGCGGCGCAUUAGCUAGUUGGUGAGGUAACGGCUCACCAAGGCAACGAUGCGUAGCCGACCUGAGAGGGUGAUCGGCCACACUGGGACUGAGACACGGCCCAGACUCCUACGGGAGGCAGCAGUAGGGAAUCUUCCGCAAUGGACGAAAGUCUGACGGAGCAACGCCGCGUGAGUGAUGAAGGUUUUCGGAUCGUAAAGCUCUGUUGUUAGGGAAGAACAAGUACCGUUCGAAUAGGGCGGUACCUUGACGGUACCUAACCAGAAAGCCACGGCUAACUACGUGCCAGCAGCCGCGGUAAUACGUAGGUGGCAAGCGUUGUCCGGAAUUAUUGGGCGUAAAGGGCUCGCAGGCGGUUUCUUAAGUCUGAUGUGAAAGCCCCCGGCUCAACCGGGGAGGGUCAUUGGAAACUGGGGAACUUGAGUGCAGAAGAGGAGAGUGGAAUUCCACGUGUAGCGGUGAAAUGCGUAGAGAUGUGGAGGAACACCAGUGGCGAAGGCGACUCUCUGGUCUGUAACUGACGCUGAGGAGCGAAAGCGUGGGGGAGCGAACAGGAUUAGAUACGCUGGUAGUCCACGCCGUAAACGAUGAGUGCUAAGUGUUAGGGGGUUUCCGCCCCUUAGUGCUGCAGCUAACGCAUUAAGCACUCCGCCUGGGGAGUACGGUCGCAAGACUGAAACUCAAAGGAAUUGACGGGGGCCCGCACAAGCGGUGGAGCAUGUCGUUUAAUUCGAAGCAACGCGAAGAACCUUACCAGGUCUUGACAUCCUCUGACAAUCCUAGUGAUAGGACGUCGCCUUCGGGGGCAGAGUGACAGGUGGUGCAUGGUUGUCGUCAGCUCGUGUCGUGAGAUGUUGCGUUAAGUCCCGCAACGACCGCAUGCCUUGAUCUUAGAUGCCAGCAUUCAGUUGGGCACUCUAAGGUGACUGCCGGUGACAAACCGGAGCAAGGUGGGGAUGACGUCAAAUCAUCAUGCCCCUUAUGACCUGGGCUACACACGUGGUACAAUGGACAGAACAAAGGGCAGCGAAACCGCGAGGUUAA